rnacentral:lncRNA from 1 species
UUUUUAGCUCACCUGACCUGAUAGGUCAAGUGAGCUUUUCUCAUCACUUGGCGUCCGUCAUCCAUAAACUUUUACAAAAAUCUUCUCCUCUGAAACUACUGGGCCAAAUUUAACCAAACUUGGCCACAAUCAUCCUUGGGGUAUCUAGUUUAAAAAAUGUGUCCGAUGACCUGGCCAUCAAACCAAGAUGGCCGCCAUGGCUAAAAAUAGAACAUAGGGCAUUUAGAGCAAAUCUGACAUGGGGUAAAAUUGUUGAUCAGGUCUAGAUCUAUCUGCCCUGAAAUUUUCAGACGAAUCGAACAACCUGUUGUUGGGUUGCUGCCCCUGAAUUGGUAAUUUUAAGGAAAUUUUGCAGUUUUUGGUUAUUAUCUUGAAUACUAUUAUAGAUAGAGAUAAACUGUAAACAGCAAUAAUGUUCAGCAAAAUAAGACCUACAAAUAAGUCAACAUGACCAAAAUUGUCAGUCAACCCCUUAAGGAGUUAUUGCCCUUUAUAGUCAAUUUUAAC